CACAGGGAGGUAGUGACAAUAAAUAACAGUGCCGGGCAUUUCUAGGUCUGGCAAUUGGAAUGAGAAAUAUUUAAAUCCCUUAUCGAGGAUCAACUGAAGGGCAAGUCUGGUGCCAGCAGCCGCGGUAAUUCCAGCUUCAGUAGCGUAUAUUAAAGUUGUUGCAGUUAAAAAGCUCGUAGUCGCAUUUCUGGAGAGAGGAACUGGUCCGACCUUACGGUGGGUUCUUGGUUCUCUCUCUCCAUCCUUGAGCGGCCCGUUCUGGUAUUAGGUUAUCGGAGCGUCCGCCGCUCAUCGUUUACUGUGAGAAAAUUAGAGUGUUCAAAGCAGGCUUAUGCCGUUGAAUAUAUUAGCAUGGAAUAAUGAGAUAGGACCUCGGUACUAUUUUGUUGGUUUGCGCACCAAGGUAAUGAUGUACAGGGACAGUUGGGGGUAUUCGUAUUUCGUUGUCGGAGGUGAAAUUCUUGGAUUUCCGAAAGACGAACUACUGCGAAAGCAUUUACCAAGGAUGUUUUCAUUAAUCAAGAACGAAAGUUAGGGGAUCGAAGAUGAUUAGAUACCAUCGUAGUCUUAACCAUAAACUAUGCCGACUCAGGAUCCGCGAUUGUUUUUUGACGUCGUGGGCACUGUAUGAGAAAUCAAAGUCUUUGGGUUCCGGGGGGAGUAUGGUCGCAAGGCUGAAA
rnacentral:rRNA from 1 species